UUGUUUAUAAAUGUGAUUUUGGUAAAGUUGUCAGCUCAAUAGACAACUUAAAGUGUAAAAAUGUUAACCUUCCUUUUUGCUGCUUAUAAAUAUCCAAAAACUGGUUGUAAGUGUGUAAAUUAUUGAAUAAUUUACAAUUUAAUUCCAUCUAAAUGGACGUCAAUUAAGAAGUACAACUUUUUUAUUGAUUAAUCAAAAAUUAAAGACAAGGCGAGUUGAUUUUUAAUUUGCAUUUACAAGCAUAAUUAGAAGACGGACCCUGAAAGUUGUCACCUGUUUCCCUCCAUUAAUCUCAAUGCGGUUGCCUUUCCUUAGAGACAAUUUAAUUGCCCCAACAGUAAUUCAUUUUUUUAAAUUUUCUCAUUUGAUAAUUCAGUUUUUCUUCGAUUACUACUGUCACUGAAUCAUCUUUAUCAUCAAUAUCUUCACCCUUUGAUUUAAAGUAUAAGUGAUAUCAAAAUGUUUGGAAUGGCUUGUCCUCUCAACUCUUAUGAAACCGUUUCAUUUCCUUGGCUCUUUGUGACUGGAUAUUUAUAACGUGAAAAUGUGAUAUUAUUCAAAAUUGAUCAAUUGGAAAGAUGUAAUCGUUGGCCAAAUACCGCAAUGAUGAACGCCAAAAGUGAGGAAAAUGUUGACUCUUAACUUGCAAAAAUGAUGGUUAAGCCUAAUUAAUCCAUUAACAUGAGACAAGACACCGUGAAAUGGAUAUUCAAACCGUUGUUUUAUCAAUGAAAAUGUUGGGAUGAAAUGGAUAUUUGUUAGCUUCUGAAGUGUAAAACCUCGCUAAGUAACUCUCUCUUCGGUUGCAAAUAGAAAGUCUUGUAUUUACACUGACAAUGAGGAGAAACCAAAGAAAUCGGUAAAGCACAAGAUUAACAAGAUUGGAAAAUUUGGAGGAAAAGAGCAAACAUGGAAGCUGAUCACAAUUAAAAUUAACCACGUAUUGAAUAUAAUAGUAACAAUAAUCAUAAGGGAAUUGUUGAAGGUUGCUUAAGGUCUUUCCAUCAAUAUUAACCAUUUGUCUUUUGGGAUUAUUGGUUGUAUAAAUUUUCAUUUAACCCUUAAAAAUCAAGUUAUCAUAAGCUUAUUUUCAGUUCUACUAUUAUUAUUGCUACUAUUAUAACCAUAACUAUUGCUGCUAUUAUUAUUGCAUAAUUUACCACACAAUUGUUACCAAAAAGCAUAUUAAUAACUGAAAAGGUUGAGUAAAAGUUAUUCAAGAGCAGCGCAAGGAGGGAAAAGUAGGAGACAGACAUUGAUGUUACUCUUAUUUUAUUUAUUAUAUCAAAUUAUUAUGUGUUCAGUUGAGUGUCUUAUGCUUUCAAAGUAACAAUGAGUGGUUAAUAAGGUUUGAUUGCCUUAAAAUAAUUAAAGGACGACCUUUAUUUUUGUUCCUGUAACAGCAAUGAUUAUGAUUGUUAAUAUCUAACUAAAGCAAGCAGCCUGCCAAAAAGACCGCCUUUCAAUCAAGUUAUCUCCUCAUCUUCAUCAUCACCACCAUCAAGAGCAACAGAAACAUUAUUAUUAUUAUUAUCAGUAUCAUGAUAAAAUGCUGAACAUCGUUCCUGAUUAGAAGACAAAGAAGAAUAUUAAAUGAAGGUAAAAGCCAAAUGAGAUUAACAUUCAUAACUAGAGGAAGAUGAAAAAAAAAUGUUGGAAUUGCUUGUUAACAGUUGAUUAUCUUUGGCUUAUCGUGAUAUGGAUUUUUAUUUCAAUGAUAUCCCUUUCAACCUCAUCAUUUUCACCAACAUCUUUACUCUUUUUUUUCUGCUUCCUAGAUCCUAUGAACAAGAAAUCAACUCAAUGCCAAUAUUAUCAUCAACAUGAAGAUAGUUUAUUGUGUCUGUGUUUAACCUGUGAAACAAAAAUUAUCAAGGAAACCCUGGCAGUUUGAAUGUAAGAAAAGGAUGGCCGAAAAAGGCUAUUUUGCUGCUGACCUUAUUUCUUAUCCCUAAAAUUAUCAUCUCAAUGGUAAUACUAAAAAUAAUAAUUUAUGUUAUGACAAUGAUCUGUAUGUAAAAAAAUAUCCAUCUCUCUGUUAUUUACAUUUGCAAAGGUGGAAACAUGUUGGGUCAAUGGGAAGCUUCAAUGCUUAUAAUAUCAAUAAAUAUUGAAUACUCUCAUCAU